ACAUAUUUAAACAAAUAAACAAAGAGAAAAGAAAAAUUAAAAGAUCAUAUUGUCAAAUCAUUUGAAAAUUUCCUUAUAUGAAAUGCCAAAUUAUGAAAGGAAAGAAAGAUAGAGAAAAAGAAAACAAAGAGAAAAUAAAAAUUUUAAAAAUAUAGUAAAGGUAAAAUGACUAAAUUGUCCAUGUAUUAAAAGACAAAAAUGCCUUUUUUUGAGGUACCUGGUAACCGGUAUUUCUCCCAAAGUAACCUGCUAUUGUAGGUCACAAGUUUUAAAAAACUAAAUCUGAGCCGUUGAAUACGUGUGAAUAAACGGUAACAAAACAAAAAAAGUAUAAAAGCAUUACUCUAAACUAAAAGAAAUUUUAACAUUUCAACUUCCACGAAUGUAAAAUGUGAGUUAUAAAAUAAAUGUCCAU
rnacentral:lncRNA from 1 species